GACGAACGCUGGCGGCGUGCUUAACACAUGCAAGUCGAACGGAAAGGCCCUGCUGUUGUGGGGUGCUCGAGUGGCGAACGGGUGAGUAACACGUGAGUAACCUGCCCUUGACUUUGGGAUAACUUCAGGAAACUGGGGCUAAUAACGGAUAGGAGCUCCUGCUGCAUGGUGGGGGUUGGAAAGUUUCGGCGGUUGGGGAUGGACUCGCGGUUUAGCAGCUUGUUGGUGGGGUAGUGGUUUACCAAGGCUUUGAUGGGUAGCAGGCCUGAGAGGGUGACCGGCAACAUUGGGAUUAAGAUACGCCCCAGACUCCUAAUGGAGGCAGCAGUGGAGAAUUUUUCACAAUGGGCUGAAGCCUGAUGCAGCAGCCCCGCUUGCGGGAUGACGGCCUUCGGGUUAUAAACCGCUUUCGCCUGUAACAAAGCGUGAGUGACGGUAAGGGGUAAAAAAGCACCGGCUAACUACGUG
rnacentral:rRNA from 1 species